UAACUAUACAUUGUAUAACUGUAUAUUGUAUAACUACACAUUGUAUAACUAUAACUACACAUUGUAACGCUAUAACUAUACACUGACUAUAAAACAAUACAUAUAGUACCACUAUACAUUGUUCCACUAUACCACUAUACACUGUAUCACUAUAGUUAUACAUGGUACAACAAUACAUUGUACCACUACACUUCACACUCUACACUGUCUAGUCCAAGUGAUAUAUGAUUAUCUAUCUGUUUGAUUACUUAUUCGGAGUCAGAAUCAUUCAGACUAACUACAUGUAUACACAUACACACAUAUACAUAUAUAGUUAUUUAUUAAUGCGAUGUACCAAACCAGAUAUGUUGUAUUACUAUAAAUACAUACAUGAUCUUUUUGUUGUAUACAUGUUUAGAGCACUAGAUUGUCAAACUAAAAAAUAUAUCUUAUUAAUGACUGCACUAAAUUACCUGAGGUGAUAAAACAUGAUACACAUCAUCUUACAAACAUGUCCAUGUCACUUUGAAUUUAUUUACCUUAUUGAAUGAUUUCUUAUAACACUGAUAUUUAUCACAUAAUUUAUAUUCAAUAUUCACAUGAAUUAAGCAAAAAGUUUAAAAAUUAACACUAUGUCUUUAUUUCAUGUCCUAGCAGGCUUUUAUGUGACGAGAAUUGUAUAUAAAUUCACAGAUGAUUCAAUUUUAACUAAAUAUUGUGUUCUACUGUCUCAUAGCGAAUACAACAUAUACACAAGUGCAAAAACAAUUUUAGCUACUGGUACACAUAGCUACAGGUAAUUACAUCUCUACUUGUAGUACACAUUGCUACAGGUAAUUACAUCUCUACCUGUAGUACACAUAGCUACAGGUAAUUACAUCUCUACAUAAUAAUUAUAUAGGGACACAAAAUUACAUCACUACACAUAGUACACAAAAUGCAAUGGAAUAAGGCCUCCUAUCAAUAUUACAUACCGUAUUUCCUCUACCUACACACAUACUCUUAUAUAAUUAUAGACAUGCAGCAUUAAGAUGACAGUAAACAACCAACAGAGAAAUUCAUUUGACUUUGAAGUAUGAGUGUUUAGCUGGAAACUAAAGAUUGUUGAAACUUUAUCUCUAGAUACCAAGGCAAAUACUAAUAUACUGGAAUAUUAAUGCAGAAGCAU